rnacentral:tRNA from 1 species
GCGGGUAUAGUAUAAUGGUCAGUACUGCAACCUUCGUGUUGAUGAUGUGGGUUCAAUUCCCUCUACCCGCUCCA